AUUUAUAUAGUAUAUAUAUUAUAUUUGACUUCCAAUCAAAAGAACUAAAUUUAGUAUAAAUA
rnacentral:tRNA from 1 species